rnacentral:rRNA from 1 species
UACGUAGGGGCAAGCGUUGGUCCGGAAUCAUUGGGUCGGUAAGCAGCGCGUAGGCGGCUCGAUAAGUCCGCUGUGAAAGUCCAGGCUCAACCCUGGAAUGCGGUGAUACUGCCGGGCUAGAGUCGGAAGAGGCGAGUGGAAUUCCUGGUGUAGCGGUGAAAUGCGCAGAUAUCAGGAGGAACACCGAUGGCGAAGGCAGCUCACUGGCUCGUAUCUGACGCUCAGGCGCGAACAGCGUGGGGAUCAAACAGG